rnacentral:ncRNA from 1 species
GGAGAACAUUGGGGGUUGUAGCCUCCUUCUGGUUGUAGCCAGAGAUUUGGGGAGUUGGAGCUUCCCUCAGGUUGUAGCCUAAGAAACUAGGGGGUUGGAGCCUCCUUCGAGUUGCAGCUGGAAAACAAAGGAAGUUGGUGCUUCCAAUAAAUGUAAUUCUUCAAGACAUAUGAGAAAAAGCAUUAUGUGGUUUUCUCCCAAUUUGGGUUUCCACGUAAAACACUCGUGUAUUGUUUAUGUGUGUGAUUGUUUAUUUAUUACUGCUCAUUAUUGGAUAAUAAUUCUACAUUGAUAUAACAUUUGAAGAAAAAGGAUUAACAUUACGUUAUUACUGAUUCACCCCCCCUCUCAGUAAUCCAACAAGUACAAGUGCAAAGACAGCUAGGAGGUUUGCCUAGAAGCAGCCAACCUUGAAAGAGUGCAUAAUAGAUCACUAAUUGAGCGCUCUUGUGCUGAAGAUGAACAAGACUAAGCGAUUUGUGGAAGAUAUGGGAUGUAAAAAUACAUCAGUAGGGAAGCGUUCCAUCUCAAAGGAAAGAACCGACACGAGUAGGUGUGGACGAAGAGGAAGCGAGAAUGUCAGCUUGAGUAAUGCAAACAUUGGUGAGAAUUCAAUGCCCCUAAAACCUAAGGGUUCCUCCGCAAGGUUUGUCCACGGAGGUUGAGUCAAGACUUAAGAUUAGGCUAAAAGGUGUAGUCGAUGGAAAAUGGGUUAAUAUUCCUGUACUACCCCUUGUUGGUCCCGAGGGACAGAGGAGGCUAGGUUAGUCGAAAUAUGGUUAUCAGUUCAAGGACACAACGUGACCCUCUAUACAUUGAUUCAAAGG